UGCAGGAGGCAGAACACACCACUGCACGAGCCGCCAGACCGGACGCCACCUCAUGUUACAGGACAAUACUGAUGAACUCAGACUGGUUCGAGCAGCUCAUGCUUGGAACAUGGGAUCAUGACUGUUGGGGGACACUGCAGUCUCUCCCUGGCUGCCCCUCUUCAGGGCCAGAACUACAUUCCAGGGUCCCUCACCACCAAUCCUGAUGGAGCACUCGCUGUGAAAAUGUGGCAAGGUGCUCCAGGCUCCAGCUGUGUUCUUCCUUCUCACACCUGAGGUCAGAUCUUCAAAGAUAAGAAGCAACAUGCAACAUGAGCAGCAGACAUUUCAUACUGAGGAAAAAUACUUCCAUGUCAGAUUAGGACCUGUUAAAUGACAAAAGAGGCUUCAUCUAUCUUUUAGCUGAACAGAAGAAUAGAACAGAACACAAUGAAGAAACAAAAAUGCACUUGAAGACAUGCUGUUUCAGACUAGAACAAGAUGAUCCUUAGAAUUCUAAGUAAUAAAAUACUUA